GGCCGGCACUACUUUAUAUACACAGAAUGUUCCACUAAAAAAUGUAUUUAUAAAGGCGAGAAAUUUAACAGUAUUUAGGUUAAAUAAGAUAACGAAGUCAAUUAAGGAGAAAAGAGCUACGAAUAGUAAGAUGACACGUGGCCCGAUUGGUGUCGCGUCGACGUCGGAUCUGAAAGCUAAAUCGAGUCAAAACAAGCAUAUCUAUCCUCGAAUUUGUUCAUCGGAGCGUGCCAACUUCCUUACGCUACUCAACAUUUUCGCAACAUUACGUGCCUAUUUCACACCAAGUUGUAUAUUUCCGGAGGAGCGGAAAUGCAAAAUUACCCGAUACCGGUUGUUUUUCACUCGACUGACACACCAGUAACUGGUCGAAAUUAAUGCUCAGGCUGCGACAAGAUGAUAGCGAAGCAAGCGAUGGCAACGAGCUAACGCUGUGUAUUUGGGCCCGACACGAGCGUUCUAGGGUCAAUCAGCAGAGUCAACAUCGGCAAUAAUAGAACGAGCAAACAAAAUCUGGCGCCGCGGGAUUACAUGGCAGUCCAUCUCCGAAGCGUUCGAUCGAAUUGCUUGAAACGCGACACCGAGACCACUUUCUAGCAUCUCGUCGUGUCUCAGGUUGCCUACGGGACUUUGAGGUUGGGGUUAAGCAAAACGAAGAAAACUGCCAUCGAGUCUGUCCGGCUAACGCGUUUUCUAUGUUUUGUAUCGCUCGUGUCCAUG
rnacentral:misc_RNA from 1 species